rnacentral:ncRNA from 1 species
CGCUCAUCCAGAGGGGCAGAGGGAACGGCCCGUUGAAGCCCCGGCAACCCUCCCGCCGGUCUCGGUCCUCCGACGCACAGCGUCCGGAGCGAGGCUCCCGGUGGGGAAGGUGCCAAUUCCGGCUCACGGCGAGGUACGCCGUGAGGAAGAUGAGGA